GACAGAGGUGCCAAGCGUUAGGCGGAAUCACUGGGCUUAAAGCGUGUGUAGGCGGACUGGUAAGUACCUUGUGAAAUCCCACGGCUCAACCGUGGAACUGCUCGGUAUACUGCUUGUCUUGAGCCACUUAGGGGCUGUCGGAACAAACGGUGGAGCGGUGAAAUGCGUAGAUAUCAGGAGGAACACCGGUGGCGAAGGCGGGUCUCUGGGCCGAAACUGACGCUGAGGAGCGAAAGCGUGGGGAGCAAACAGG
rnacentral:rRNA from 1 species